rnacentral:rRNA from 1 species
GGGCCCGCACAAGCGGUGGAGUAUGUGGUUUAAUUCGAUGCAACGCGAAGAACCUUACCAGGGCUUGACAUCCUGCGAAUCUCUGGGAAACCGGAGAGUGCCUUCGGGAACGCAGUGACAGGUGGUGCAUGGCUGUCGUCAGCUCGUGUCGUGAGAUGUUGGGUUAAGUCCCGCAACGAGCGCAACCCACGUCUUUAGUUGCCAGCAUUUAGUUGGGCACUCUAGAGAGACCGCCGGUGACAAACCGGAGGAAGUGUGGAUGACGUCAAGUCAUCAUGCCCCUUACAUCCUGGGCUACACACGUACUACAAUGCUACGGACAAAGGGCAGCAAACUCGCGAGAGCUAGCAAAUCCCAUAAACGUGGCUCAG